GGGGCGGCGGGCCACGCCCCUGCGGCCCGGGGCGCGCGGACGGUGCAGCCCCGGCCCAGGCCCAGGGCCCCGUCCCCGCGGUUUCCUCCGAGAAGCUAUUUUGGGAACAGGAACUCGGCUGUUUGGGUGGAAGAGGGGAAGCCAAGGGCCUGGAGGCAGACGGGCCAGGGGAGACGCCGACGGAUGGGCGACGCGGAGCAGAGCAGCUCCCGGCCUGGCUCGCUGGAGCGGGGCGCAGAGGCGCGGUCACAGGGCCCGCGGGGCCGCCACUUGAAAGAGCAGCUAUUGUGCAAGCCUCAGGUUUCAGGGAGCCAGACAGCAGGAAGGACUUUCUGUUUUGGGGCGGAGGCCAGCUGCGUUUUCAACUCCGGAAGGGGUCUACACAUGCACACAAGCCACACAGGCCUCUCCAAGUUUGUUUUUCUGACACACUGGAAACCGCACAGUUCAGAGAAAAUUCAUCUCGCAUGCUGGGGCCUGCUUUCCCGGAACGUGUCCAGGACUGCUGCGUCAACACUGCCACACUCAGCAAGCUGCCUCCCAGUGGGAUGGUGUGAUUUGCCAAGGGAAAAACGCCACCCAGACUCGGGGUGCUGGGGGUGGGGAUUGUGUGUAGGUCAAAGGGAGGCUGGACUUCCAACUGGACAAGGCUCUUCCCCGAUUCCGUAGUUGUCACUGACCCUUCCAAAGGCCACGGCUGCAUCCUCCGUGGGCUCCCUGUUCCCGGACAAGGCUGCAUCUGGGUGCUUUGCUGCUGACUGUCCUGCUCUCAAGGCACCGGUGGGGAGGGGCUGUGAGAAGGAGGGAUGAGGCCUGGGACUGAGGAUCCUUCUCAGCUUCUCUGAUAGCUCUGCCAGGAGGGAGCUUGGCUUGAGAGGAAGGGCCGCCGGCAUCUUGGAGAUGUGCCAUGUAAAUGUUCCUACAUACUAGCUGCUUCUCUGAAAUAAAAUGUCCCAAUUCUGUGCAUUGGGCCAGAGAGAGUAGUAAAUCUGUGUCCUUGAUGCAGUCAGUCAAGAAGACUAUGAGGUGCUAAGGAUUUGGGUUAAGAAGGGUUGACUAUGGUGUCUGCCUUCAGCUACACUGAAGCCAGAAGAUCCUGCCUAAACCCUGCCGAGAACGAUCAGCCCUCUCUGUUUGACAGCCAUGGAAGACAGAAAAAUUAAGUUGUUUUCUUUUUAAUUCCAACUCAAAAAGCACAAAGAGCUGUUUAUGCUUGUUGCCCACGUGACAGUCACUCUCCCUUUUCCCACACACCCACACAUUUGCCUCCCCUAGUCAAAGACUGAAAAGGCAGUUACAAUAAGACUUCAUCAAACGCUUUUCAGACUUGUGGCAACUUUUUGCUUUGUGAAAUCCCGGAACAAGCCUUGGAGUAUCUCCCAGAACAAUAAUUGCUUAUAAGGUAUCCAGUGAAAUUAUAAUAGCUGGAGGCUGUGAAAAAUAAUAAUUUCUUUGGUGAUUACAUAAUGUUUCUAUUUUUUUCCACCAUAGAUUACUAGAGCCACAACUUUUCAAUUUUUUUCCAGUGCGCUUAAUUUGAGCUUUCAAAACUCCUUAUACUCGCCUUCUUA